rnacentral:tRNA from 1 species
GGGGAUAUAACUCAGUUGGGAGAGUGCUUGCCUUGCAUACACAAGACCCUGGGUUCAAUUCCCAGCAUC